GAGCUGGCUAUAAACAUACUAUAGACUGGGGUGAAAGAGGGAGAGUGUGAGGUUGAGAGACAGAGAGAGGGAAAGAAAGAAAGAAAGAGAGAGAGAUUACUACACCCAGCCUUUUAUAAAGCCGUUUCUUUCAUUAUAACAGGUCUUUUCAUCCCAGUGACACAGAACCUUUAAAUUUGGGCAUAAUGCUCCAGUACAGUACACAGCUAUAGCUUCAAAUGGAUUUAGAACCUGCUCCAGAAAGAAAACAAACUCCCUCGCUUGACACACAAAUUGUUUACGAUUCAUUAAAAAGCAAAAUUGCAUAUCCCAGUGCUGGCAGCUGAGUCCAUAUGGGUGCAAGGGGUAUUCACUCAUCUCUUUGUAUGCUGGCAGUACCAAACCGAAGUUUAGCACUGUGCAGCUGAGAUUUUGUGCAGCCAGACGAUGCAUGAGAUGCUGAGUCCUCAGGAAAAGGGACCAAUGACUAAUAAAUCAGGUGUUUCUUCCUUCACCUACUGGGAUCAAUAAGAAGCAGGAGAAAAAAGUUCUUGUUUGCAUGAGAUAAUGCAGACAAACAGCACCAUGUAGUGGGGACACGCAGGGAAGCAGCUCAGCUCCCCAGGACACCAAACAAGCUGAUUUCUCUAGCCCAAACUCUGAUAUAUUCAAAACUAAUCCAGAAAGAAUCAGAGAAUGAUUCACAGCAUGGCUACAAGUCCAUUGCAACACACAAACCCCAGCCUGCAGCUGGAGUUACUCUUUUGCCAAGGCAAUGGAUAACUGCUAUGUAAGUAAAAGUUGCACAUCACCUUGAGAAAACUGUCACACAAAAUCACAUCUUCCUACCUCUGAGGAAAAAGCAGCAACUGGCAGCUGCCUCUGGAGGGAAACUACAUGGAGGAUCUUCUCCAAGAUGGUACUUUCUGAUCCCACCUCUGAUCACUGCUGUGGCUGAAGCAAAGCCACCACCUUCUGCUUUCCCCGUCCCCCUUCGCAUUCCCCAGCCAGCCAAACUGCUGUGGAUGUGCAAAUAGUUCAGGAGCAGUAGCCUGGCCAGCAGGUGAAAGAAAUGACUUCACUUCAUACAGAAAAUGCAGUCAUGAGAAGACACAUGGUUUGGGACAGGGAGCUGCUAUGAAAUUCACUCUGGCAAACUGGGCAUGGAUGUUUUCUUCUCCCCAAGUAUCCAAUAAAAUGUCCAAAACUUUGCUCUUUGAGAAGAUAUGCAAAGCAGAAUGUGCGUCAUUCAUAGUGUCCAGCAAUAAACAAAAUAUUAAGUGCAUUUUUAAUGCUCUAAACCUUUUAAAAGACUUUUUAAACCUUGCACAGUGGGACAUAAUUAAAAUUGUUUUGCUAUCUGCAACAAGCCUGGCCUCCAAUCACAUAAUUAAGCAGUCACAAAUUGCAAAAUUGGUUUGUUUGGUUCCCACACCACAGAAAUAAUGAUAAAAGCUUUUUUUGUUUGUCAGUAACUUACAGGUUAUGGGCAAUGCAUUUUGGCAAAUUUGGAGCUUGAAGACCAUGUCCACAUCUCCCCAUGUUUUCCCCACUGUGGAUACUUAGUGUGCUCUCUAUGGUUUCAGUGGCUGCAUGCACUCAGAUAAUGUAGCAGCUACAACUGGAAAUAAAAGAUUUAAAGUGUGUUAAGCA